CAACCUUCAAAAAUGGCCAUGGCUAUGCGCUCCACCUUCGCCGCCCGCGUUGGCGCUAAGCCCGCUGUCCGCGGUGCUCGCCCCGCCAGCCGCAUGAGCUGCAUGGCCUACAAGGUCACCCUGAAGACCCCUUCGGGCGACAAGACCAUUGAGUGCCCCGCUGACACCUACAUCCUGGACGCUGCUGAGGUGAGGCGGUCUGAAUCGGCUGCUGGCGUUAGGGACCCGCCUGCCCGGGCGCGCUUGGCCUUCCUGCUAGCGCAGCUUCGCCUACAUGUGCUUUGAUCAGCCAAUUGGAGCGAACAGCGCCGACGAUCGCAGAGGUUCUGGGUCGGAAUUGCACUAACGAUCAGUGCUGACGAGUCGUGCCCCUCUUCCUUCUUGCUGCUCUGCGACCACAGGAGGCCGGCCUGGACCUGCCCUACUCUUGCCGCGCUGGUGCUUGCUCCAGCUGCGCCGGCAAGGUCGCUGCCGGCACCGUCGACCAGUCGGACCAGUCCUUCCUGGACGAUGCCCAGAUGGGCAACGGCUUCGUGCUGACCUGCGUGGCCUACCCCACCUCGGACUGCACCAUCCAGACCCACCAGGAGGAGGCCCUGUACUAAGCGCUUUCGCCAUCUGCGGGGGUCGUAGGCUAGAACUGGGGUUGGGGAUCGGGCUGCUUGCAUAGCCAAGCAAUUUU
rnacentral:lncRNA from 1 species